rnacentral:rRNA from 1 species
UGGGGAAUUUUGGACAAUGGGCGCAAGCCUGACCCAGCAACGCCGCGUGAAGGAUGAGGUAUUUCGGUAUGUAAACUUCGAAAGAAUAGGAAGAAUAAAUGACGGUACUAUUUAUAAGGUCCGGCUAACUACGUGCCAGCAGCCGCGGUAAUACGUAGGGACCAAGCGUUGUUCGGAUUUACUGGGCGUAAAGGGCGCGUAGGCGGCAUGACAAGUCACUUGUGAAAUCUCUGGGCUUAACCCAGAACGGCCAAGUGAUACUGUCGCGCUAGAGUGCAGAAGGGGCAAUCGGAAUUCUUGGUGUAGCGGUGAAAUGCGUAGAUAUCAAGAGGAACACCUGAGGUGAAGACGGGUUGCUGGGCUGACACUGACGCUGAGGCGCGAAAGCCAGGGGAGCAAACGGGAUUAGAUACCCAUGUAGUCCCUGAGCGGGCUGGCAAGGCGCAU